AUUCUUGCUCACAAACCCAACAUCACUUCUAUCAGUUUGGUCCGAGUUGUGAAUAAAAACUACUGACGAGUUGUAGGAUUUGUAAGGCUGAAACUUCACGCAAACGAUGUCCAAUUUGAGAGACACAAAACUGCGCAACGUGCCAGAUUAUUUGACCAAAAACUUAUCCAAAGGAUCUGAUCAUUUGUGGCUAGGAUGGUGCAGGAUUUGGAACAGCUACAGAGCCAAGUACGUUCAAGUCAAGAACGCCAGAUUGACUCCGUUUAUUCAUGUUUGCAUUGCUGCCAUGGCCAUUAAUUAUUACAUGGAGUAUCCCCACAUUAAAGCCCAUUCCAUUUGGAGGAAGUAUCACUAAACAAGAUUGCAGCAAGUUAUCUCCUGGGUGUUUCUGUCACAAGGAACAGUUUUAUGUGAUGACCAGGGAAGAAAACAUUCAAUAAAUUGGACUGGACAGUUGUUGUAAUCAGGCAAUUUGUGAGAAUAAAAUCCUUAUUUUCA